UGAGAAUCUAACACAAACGGAGCAGUUUCCUACUAAAGACCGGUGGACAAAAAAGAUGAUUUUUGUCUUUGGAGAGUCCUUACAGCAGGAAGGUCAGCAGAUGAAAAACCAGGAAACAUUUUAUCCCGGCUGCCACAGCACUCUUCAAAACAAACUUGGGGUUUCCUCCGGUGGAACAUUCCAGACCUGAGUGUUAACGCCCUAUGCGUGAGCUGCAGUGAAAGGGAGGGAUGGAGGCAGCAGACUACUGGAGCUGGCUCAGACCCCCAGGCCGCCUGAGCGCACACUAUGCGCCCACGCACGUGACCAUCAGCCCGAACCCAUUGGCAGUGCGUUCUACAGAGCUACAAAUCCUGAUUCCCCUUCAAAAAAGAUUUUUAAAUUAUGUUCAUGGAUGUCAUACCCUUUGGAGUAUCAGGGAAAGAGUAAG
rnacentral:lncRNA from 1 species